GACGAACGCUGGCGGCGUGCCUAAUACAUGCAAGUCGAACGCAGUGGGGACGGGUGAGUAACACGUGGGUAACCUCCCAUCAGAGGGGAUAAAACUUGGAAACAGGUGCUGAACCGAUACUGAUGGAUGGACCCGAGGGGCAUUAGCUAGUUGGUGAGGUAACGGCUCACCAAGGCGACGAUGCAUAGCCGACUGUCGGGGGUGAGCGGCCACACUGGGACUGAGACACGGCCCAGAGUCCUACGGUAGGCAGCAGUAGGGAAUCUUCGGCAAUGGACGAAAGUCUGACCGAGCAACGCCGCGUGAGUGAAGAAGGUUUUCGGAUCUUAAAACUCUGUUGUUAGAGAAGCGGUAUCUAACCAGAAAGCCACGGCUAACUACGUGCCAGCAGCCGCGGUAAUUC
rnacentral:rRNA from 1 species